GUGCUAACUUAGGCUGCACAUAUACUAAAAUUGGAAUGAUACAGAGAAGAUUAGCAUGUCCCCUGCACAAGGAUGACAUGCAAAUUCAUGAAGCAUUUCAUAUAUUU
ensembl:snRNA U6 U6 spliceosomal RNA